AACGAACGCUGGCGGCAGGCCUAACACAUGCAAGUCGAACGCUCGUAGCAAUACGAGAGUGGCAGACGGGUGAGUAACGCGUGGGAACCUUCCCAGUGGUACGGAAUAGCCCAGGGAAACUUGGGGUAAUACCGUAUACGCCCGAAAGGGGAAAGAUUUAUCGCCAUUGGAUGGGCCCGCGUCGGAUUAGCUAGUUGGUGAGGUAACGGCUCACCAAGGCGACGAUCCGUAGCUGGUCUGAGAGGAUGAUCAGCCACACUGGGACUGAGACACGGCCCAGACUCCUACGGGAGGCAGCAGUGGGGAAUAUUGGACAAUGGGCGCAAGCCUGAUCCAGCCAUGCCGCGUGAGUGACGAAGGCCUUAGGGUUGUAAAGCUCUUUUGGCGGGGACGAUAAUGACGGUACCCGCAGAAUAAGCCCCGGCAAACUUCGUGCCAGCAGCCGCCGCAGUAA
rnacentral:rRNA from 1 species